rnacentral:rRNA from 1 species
AUUGAACGCUGGCGGCAUGCUUUACACAUGCAAGUCGAACGGUAACAGGACGCACGGUGCUGACGAGUGGCGAACGGGUGAGUAAUGCAUCGGAACGUGCCCAGUCGUGGGGGAUAACGCAGCGAAAGCUGCGCUAAUAUCUCAUACGAUCUAUGGAUGAAAGCGGGGAACCGUAAGGCCUCGCGCGAUUCGUACGGCCGAAUGGCAGAUUAGGUAGUUGGUGGGGUAAAGGCUCACCAAGCCGACGAUCUGUAGCUGGUCUGAGAGGACGACCAGCCACACUGGGACUGAGACACGGCCCAGACUCCUACGGGAGGCAGCAGUGGGGAAUUUUGGACAAUGGGGGCAACCCUGAUCCAGCAAUGCCGCGUGCAGGAAGAAGGCCUUCGGGUUGUAAACUGCUUUUGUACGGAACGAAACGGCUCUGGUUAAUACCCGGGGCUAAUGACGGUACCGUAAGAAUAAGCACCGGCUAACUACGUGCCAGCCGCCGCAGUAA